GGAGAGAUGUCCGAGUGGCUUAAGGAGCAGCAUUGGAAAUGCUGUGUAUCUUAACGGGUACCCAGGGUUCGAAUCCCUGUCUCUCCGCGA
rnacentral:tRNA from 1 species